GUGGCUGUAGCUCAAUCGGUUAGAGCGCUGGACUGUGGCUCCAGAGGUUGCGGGUUCGAUUCCCGUCAGCCACCCUA
rnacentral:tRNA from 2 species